rnacentral:rRNA from 1 species
ACGGAGGGUGCAAGCGUUAAUCGGAAUCACUGGGCGUAAAGCGCUCGCAGGCGGUUUGGUAAGUCAGAUGUGAAAUCCCUGGGCUUAACCGGGGAACUGCAUUUGAUACUGCCAGGCUUGAGUAUCGGAGAGGGUGGUGGAAUUCCGGGUGUAGGGGUGAAAUGCGUAGAUAUCCGGAGGAACACCAGUGGCGAAGGCGGCCACCUGGACGAAAACUGACGCUCAGGUGCGAAAGCGUGGGGAGCAAACAG